CAGGCGCGACAGCCGCACCACGAGGCCGUUACCCGGCGGCCGUUACUCACUGGCCGUUACCCGGCGGCCGCCUCGCGCGCGCGAGCAGCUAAGAGCCGCUGCCAAGCGGGGCCCGGCUGCUGCGCAGCUUCCGGCGCGUCCCCGCCGCCGCCAUGCCAGCCCCGCCCCGCUCCCGGCAGCCAACGGCCGCGGAGCCGCCACCCACGGGCAGGCGAGAGCCCGUGCCGGGGCGCCCCGGGGCUAGGAGCGCCGGAGUUCAUUUUCUUUGGAUUAUCUGUACUUUUUCAGUAAUGGCAAUACAUUCAUUCUGCCAUUUGGAGGAGCCUGUGCCACAGAAUAAUGAUCUGAAGAAGGCUAACUUGCUUGCAAAGAGCCUUCAUUUGGGAAACAGUAGUGAUGCAGCAAAGAGGUGCUUUGUCAAGUUCAGCAGAACUAUUAUUGCACCUAGCACAAACUCCAGUACAUGGACAAAGCUGGUUUUCCUCAAAGAAUAA
rnacentral:lncRNA from 1 species